GAAUCUUGCGCAAUGGGCGGAAGCCUGACGCAGCGACGCCGCGUGGGGGAUGAAGGCCUUCGGGUCGUAGACCCCUGUCUUGGGGGACGAAACAUGCCGGUACCCCAUGAGGAAGCCCCGGCUCACUCCGUCCCAGCAGCCGCGGUAAUACGUAGGGGGCGAGCGUUGUCCGGAAUCACUGGGCGUAAAGGGUGCGUAGGCGGCUUGUUAAGUCCCGUGUGAAGGGCUCCGGCUCAACCGGAGUAGGCCACGGGAAACUGGCAGGCUUGAGGGCUGGAGAGGAUGGCGGAAUUCCCGGUGUAGCGGUGAUAUGCGUAGAUAUCGGGAGGAACACCAGUGGCGAAGGCGGCCAUCUGGACGGUCCCUGACGCUGAGGCACGAAAGCCGGGGGAGCAAAC
rnacentral:rRNA from 1 species